rnacentral:rRNA from 1 species
AUUGAACGCUGGCGGCAGGCCUAACACAUGCAAGUCGAACGAGUGGCGGACGGGUGAGUAAUGUCUGGGAAACUGCCUGAUGGAGGGGGAUAACUACUGGAAACGGUAUCUAAUACCGCAUUCCAGAAGAUGUGCCCAGAUGGGAUUAGCUAGUUGGGGGGGUAACGGCUCACCAAGGCGACGAUCCCUAGCUGGUCUGAGAGGAUGCCAAGCCACACUGGAACUGGGACACGGUCCAGACUCCUACUGGGGGCAGAGGGGGGGAAUAUUGCACAAUGGGCGAAAGCCUGAUGCAGCCAUGCCGCGUGUAUGAAGAAGGCCUUCGGGUUGUAAAGUACUUUAAGCGGGGGGGCGUUACCCGCAGAAGAAGCACCGGCUAACUCCGUGCAAGCAGCCGCGUAAUAC